UACAGGGGGUGCAAACGUUGCUCGGAAUCAUUGGGCGUAAAGCGCACGUAGGCGGUCUGUUAUGUCGGAUGUGAAAGCCCUCGGCUUAACUGAGGAAGUGCAUCCGAAACUGGCAGGCUAGAGUACCAAAGAGGGUCGCGGAAUUCCCGGUGUAGAGGUGAAAUUCGUAGAUAUCGGGAGGAACACCAGUGGCGAAGGCGGGCGACCUG
rnacentral:rRNA from 1 species